GUGAGCUAGGAAGAGGAAGAAAUAUUCUAAGAGCAGUGAGAAUGGGAACACGGAGGAAACCCCGAGCUAUCUGUCUGCACCUCUGAAACUAGAGGUGGAUAUUUGUCUCAGUGUUUCCCCAUGCCUCCCAUUCCUAUUGUUCUUAGGUUCUCCUUCCCCUUCCUUUUAGCU
rnacentral:pre_miRNA from 1 species